GAUGAACGCUGGCGGCGUGCUUAACACAUGCAAGUCGAACGGAAAGGCCCAAGCUUGCUUGGGUACUCGAGUGGCGAACGGGUGAGUAACACGUGGGUUAUCUGCCCUGCACUUCGGGAUAAGCCUGGGAAACUGGGUCUAAUACCGGAUAGGACCACAUUUUGGAUGGUGUGGUGGAAAGUUUUUCGGUGUGGGAUGAGCUCGCGGCCUAUCAGCUUGUUGGUGGGGUAAUGGCCUACCAAGGCGUCGACGGGUAGCCGGCCUGAGAGGGUGUACGGCCACAUUGGGACUGAGAUACGGCCCAGACUCCUACGGGAGGCAGCAGUGGGGAAUAUUGCACAAUGGGCGCAAGCCUGAUGCAGCGACGCCGCGUGGGGGAUGACGGACUUCGGGUUGUAAACUCCUUUCGCUAGGGACGAAGCGUUUUUGUGACGGUACCUGGAGAAGAAGCACCGGCUAACUACGUG
rnacentral:rRNA from 1 species